rnacentral:lncRNA from 1 species
AUCCCAGCACUUUGGGAGGCUGAGGCAGGCAGACUGCUUAAGCUCAGCAGUUUGAGACCAGCCUGGGCAACAUGAUGAAACCCCGUCUCUACAAAAAAUACAAAAAUUAGCCAGGCCUGAUGGUACAUGCCUGUAGUCCCAGCUACUCAGGAGGCUGGGGUGGGAGGAUCACUUCAGCCCUGGAGGUCAAGGCUGCAGUGAGCCGAGAUGGUGCCACUGCACUCCAGCCUAGGAAACAGAGCCAGAUUCUGUCUCAAAAAAAAAAAAAGAUAUAUAUAUAUAUAUCUUUCAAAUAUCUGUAUAUACACACAAUCACAUCAUAUGUGAAACUUCAAAUAAAAGUUUAAUGUGUAAAUGUAUAUAAUCAGAUCAAUCUAAAAGAAGAGAUUUUCUAUAAGCGAUUGUCCUGGACUCUUUGAGUAAUCAGUAUCAUAUUAAAAAUAAAGGCAGGGGGUGGAAUUCUAGGUCACAGUUUAGUAAACUUUUUCCAUAAAGGGCUGGGUACUAAAUCUCUUAGGCUUUAUGGGCCACACAGUCUCGAUCGCAACUGCUCAACUCUCUCAUUGUAGCGUGAAAACAACCAUAGACAUUACAUAAAUAAAAGAGCCUGGCUGUGUUCCAGCAAAAAUGUAUUUACAAAAACAGGUGGUAGGCCAGAUUUGGCCCAUGGGACAUAGUUUGCCUGUUUUACACUAAUGGAGACAAAAUGGACACAGCAACCAAACGCAAUUUGAGAAUCUACAUUGGAUCCUAGCUUGAGGAAAAAACAGUGAUGAAAGAUAUUCGUGGGACAACUGGGGAAACUUGAGUACACACUGGAUACCAGAUGAUAUUAUAGAAUUGUUAAUUUUCUUAAGGAAUGGUAAAGGUAUUGUGGGGAUUAACAUUUAGUCUAGGUUCUUCAUUUCCUGGAUGACCUAGAGGCCAAAAAAAAUACAGCUAUUUGUUCUAAAAUCGCUUCCAAAGAGUGUAAAAUUUGCAGAACAAGAAUUGAGAUUUCUCCCCAUUUACGUGAUGACUGUAGGGCCAUGGUUCUCAACCAGGGGUGAUUUUGCCCCCUAGAGGACAUUUGGCAAUGUUUGGAGACAUUUGUGGUUGUCACAACUAGGGUGGGAUACAACUGGCAUCCCGUGGUUAGAGGCCAGUAAUGUUGCCCAACAUCCUACAAUCUACAAGACAACCACCACAACAAAGAAUUAUCUGGCCCAUGGAGGGCGCAGUGGAUCCUGCCUGUAAUCCCAGCACUUUGGGAGACCGAGGAAGGUGAAUCACCUGAGCUUAGAAGUUUGAGACCAGCCUGGUCAACACAGCAAAAACCCCGUCUCUACUAAAAAUACAAAAAUUAGCCAGGUGUGGUGGCGCACGCUGGUAAUCCCAGCUACCCAAGAGGCUAAGGCAUGAGAAUCACUUGAACCCAGGAGGCAGAGGUUGCAGUGAGCUGAGAUCGCACCACUGCAUUCCAGCCUGGGAGACAGAAGGAGACUCCAUCUCAAAAAACAAACAAACAAACAAAAAACAAUUAUCUGACCCUGAAUGUAGAACCACCCUGCUUUGUAGUGACUACUGAAGCUCUGGGCAUGGACAUGAAGACAGAAGACUAUUUGAAUCCAGCCCUGCCACUGAAGUCUGAGUAACUCUGGGCAAGUUGUUUGACCCUUCCUGAGCCUUUCCUUUCUCAGUCUCCUCAUCUGUAAAAUGGGUAUGUCUGCCCUCCUUGGCUACUUCACAGGGCUGCGGCACAUGCAUCUGCCCGAAUGAGUGGGCAUGGAAGCACCCUGUUUAUGGCAUGGUGGUAUGUACUCCAUGUGAGGCCUGAGGACGGAAGCAGUGUGGAGAGGCUGUAUCAUCUUUAUAAUGACUAGGAGGCCAAGACAUUAGUACCUAAAGCAAAAAAGUAAUUUCAAAUUGCAGCAGAAUCACCUGAAGUUUGGUUAAAACACAUAUUGCUGGGCCCACCCCCAGAGCUUCGAAUUCACUGUUCUGGGGUGAGGCCCCUUAAGGCUUUCUAACAAGUUUCCAGAUAAUCCUGCUACUGCUGGGUGGAAGGAACUAACGUUGAGAAAUUUGGUCUUGAAAUCCGCUCUUUCCUUCCCUUAUCAACAGGGGGUAGCAGAGAGCAGCAAAUAGACAGUCAUUCUUUGAGGAAGCAGGUCAAAAUCCUCAUCAAACCUCCCUCAGUUUCAAUCUAACAAGUGGCAGGAGAGAGGGCUGAAAUAGUGAAUUAUUUAAAUUUAUAUUAUCCCUAUGACCCCAGCAACAAGUCAUUUAACUUGUGCUGAAUCACAAUUUGUGAAACGGGGGAAGCAACCUAAAAGAUAGUGAGAUAAUUUGAUUAAUGUUUGUUGAGCGUUAGAACUUCCAAAGAAAAUUGAAAUGUAUAGGUAAUAAAUUAUUCUGGGAAUUUCUUAUUCUUGGGACUUUUUCUAAAUGUCUGCAUUUUAAACACUUCUGACUCAUUUAUAAACAUUGGUUGCCCUCAUUGAAUUUUCAAUUGUUUAAUAGUUUAGAGGGCAAUACGUUCAAUGCACUCAUUACAUCCAGAAUGUGUAGCAACUUCAAACCAGAGUGACAGUGUAAGGGCAGAUGAGAAGGUGGUCAUCCAGGGGUGAUGGUGACCACAUUCUGAUGGGGCUUUUGGUGGGGGAAAAUCCUUUAAGGUUUUUAAAAGAAUGGUUCCAAAGCUGCCAGAAUAGUUACCUUAAAAAAUCAGAGUUCAGGCCGGGCGCAGUGGCUCACACCUGUAAUCCCAGCACUUUGGGAGGCCAAGGCGGGCAGAUCACCUGAGGUCAGGAGUUCGAGACCAGCCUGGCCAGCAUGGUGAAACCCCGUCUCUACUAAAAUUACAAAAAUUAGCUGGAUGUGGUGGCAGGUGGCUGUCACCCCAGCUACUCGGGAGGCUUGAGAAUCGCUUGAGCCCAGGAGAAGGAGGUUGCAAUGAGCUGAGAGUGCACCAUUGCACUCCAGCCUGGGUAACAGAGUGAGGCCCUGUCCCAAAAAAAAAAAAAAAAAAGCAGAGUUCAGCUCCCAGGAAUCACCCCUUGCAGACUGAUUUCAAUUAUUCAACUGUCAUUUACUGGGCACCAGUAUGUCCCAAGCUCUUGUCUAGGAGAGGACUCAAUAGUGACAAGAGAGACAAGGACUCUGUUCUCAUAGAGCUUGGAUUCCAGACUAAUGUAACAUGUCACCGCACAAGUGUCACUGCAGGAAGAGCGCUAAGCUCUGACCCGGAGUCCCCCAUCUUGGUCAACCCCACUGGCCUCAGCUUAAUCUGCAGGGACAGUUCCUCUGCUGCUUAGAACUGAACAGCCAUUCCUAUUGUCCUUGAAAUUCUGGAAUAAAUUUUUUCUUUGGCGCUCUCCCAUAGGCAUUUUGGGAUUUGGGUACCUUAAUGGUAUAUUAGUAUUUAACCAAUUUUCAUUCUAUGUAUAAUUUUCUCACAAAUGUCAUGUCAUCUCACUAAUCAAAAUGUUUCUCCAGUUUACAAUGUAACUGCCAUUAUUAAUUUCACUGCAUGGGUUUGUUGUUUUGUUUUAUUUUGGUUUUGAGACAGGGUCUCACUCUGUCACUCAGGCUGGAGUACAGCGGUGCGAUCUCAGCUCACUACGACUUCCGCCUCCUGGGCUCAAGCGAUUCUCCCACCUCAGCACCCCAGAGUAGCUAGGACCACAGAAUGAGUUUGCUCAUCUGUGUUCUAAAGCAUGCUGGACUCCACUUAGAACUGAACUGGGCAAACAAGAUUUAUUCAGAGAACUUCAAUUAUGUGAGACAUAAUUUUCUUUCUUUUUACAUUUCUUUAAAAAAAAAUUUUUUUUUAGGGGUUUCACCACAUUGCCCAGGCUGGUCUUGAACUCCUGGACUCAAGUGAUCCACCCACUUUGGCCCUCCCAAACUGCUGGGAUUACAGGUGUGAGCCACUGCACCAGGCCAAUUUUCAUAAUAGAGCACUUUGAUCUCUUACCCUCAAUUUCAUGUCACAUUCAUUAUUCUGAAGUGAUGACAAAUGUUGUAUUAUGUGCCAUAGUAAGCUAAGUGUAUAUUGCUAAUGAAUUGCCAUCCUGGGAUGUCAUAAAAGACCUUUCUGAAGAAAAAAAAUUCUAAGAAUCCUCUCAAGAGCUUAUACAAAUAGGAGAAUCAUAACACGAGGAAGCAAGUGAUUUGGGGAGAAUUUCACACAUCCCCAAAAGCACCAACCAUAAAGAAAAAGAUUGAUAUAUCUGAUUAUGUCAUCAUUUAAAAGUAUACAAAGGGCCAGGCGCUGUGGCUGACACCUGUAAUCCCAGCACUUUGGCAGGCCAAGGCGGGCGGAUUGCCUGAGCUCAGGAGUUCAAGACCAGCCUGGCCAACAUGGUGAAACCCUGUCUCUACUAAAAUACCAAAAAUUAGCCAGGUGUGGUGGUGCACGCCUGUAGUCCCAGCUACUUGGGAGGCUGAGGCAGGAGAAUGGCGUGAACCCGGGAGGCAGAGCUGGCAGUGAGCUGAGAUCACGCCACUGCACUCCAGCCUGGGCGACAGAGUGAGACUCCGUCUCAAAAAAUAAUAAUAAUAAUAAAUAAAUAAAAUAAAAGUAUAUGAAAAAGACAUUACAAACUUCUUGUUUGUAGAAAAGAACCACAGAAUUCUCAUUCACUGCUGGUGGAAAUGCAACAUGGAACAACCACUUUGGAACAGUUCAGCAGUUUUUUAUAAGGUUAAAUAUACACAUACCAUAACUCCUAGGUAUUUACCCAAGAGAAAUAAGAUAUAUGUUCAUACAAUGACUUGUACUCAGAUGUUCACAAUAGUGUUAUUUCUAAUAGCCACAAACUAGAAACAAUCUUAAGUUUCCACCAACUGGAGAAUAGAUAAAUAAAUUGUGGUAUAUCCAUGUACUGAAAUACAGUCAUGCACUGCAUAAAGACAUUACAUAUAUGCAACAGUGGUCCCAUAAGAUUAUAAUGGAGCUGAAAAAUUCCUAUUGCCUAGUAUUUACAAUAUUAUACUUUGUAUCAUUUAUUUUAGAGUGUAGAGUGUAUCAUCUAUUUUAUAAGUAAAGUCCUUCUACUUAUUUAAAAAAAAAAAAGUUAACUGUACACCAGCCUCAGGCAGGUCCUUCAGGAGGUAUUUCAGAAGAAGGCAUUGUUAUUAAAACAGAUGACAGUCCCAUGGGUGUUAUUGCCCCUGAAGACCACCCACUGGGACAAGAUGUGGAGGUGGAAGACAGUGAUACUGAUGAUCCUGACCCUGUGUAGGCCUAGGCUAAUAUGUGUGUUUGUGUCUUAGUUUUUAAUAAAAAGUUUAUUAAGGUCUCUUGGCAUUGUGUUUUGUUUUUGUUUUUGAAAUG